CAGGGUGUAGCUCAGUGGUAGAAUGUAUGCUUAGCAUGCAUACACCCCUGGGUUCAAUCUCCAGCACCCAAA
rnacentral:tRNA from 1 species